rnacentral:misc_RNA from 1 species
UUUUUUAUAGUUUUUUUUGAAAGGGAAAACAUAUACAUUAAUGAAAUAAAGAACAGUUUGAAAGAUAAAGGGCAUAGGGUUGUCAAUUUUGAUCUCAAUCGCAUGUAGCACUACCUUACAUUUCCGUGAGAGACACCACUGCCAUCAUGAGUUAGCCAAGGAAGUAACGCUGAACAUUAAUCUUAGUAAUUAAUAUAAGGCUAAAUUAAACUUAGUUUAAAAAAUUAAAAGAAAAGAGAGAGAGAGAGAG